AUUGAACGCUGGCGGCAUGCUUUACACAUGCAAGUCGAACGGCAGCGCGGGCUUCGGCCUGGCGGCGAGUGGCGAACGGGUGAGUAAUACAUCGGUACGUGCCCAGUAGCGUGGGAUAGCCUGGCGAAAGCCGGAUUAAUACCGCAUACGACCCGAGGGUGAAAGCGGGGGAUCUUCGGACCUCGCGCUAUUGGAGCGGCCGAGGGCAGAUUAGCUAGUUGGUGGGGUAAAGGCCUACCAAGGCGACGAUCUGUAUCUGAUCUGAGAGGAGGACCAGCGACACUGGGACUGAGACACGGCCCAGACUCCUACGGGAGGCAGCAGUGGGGAAUGUUGGACAAUGGGCGAAAGCCUGAUCCAGCAAUGCCGCGUGUGUGAUGAAGGCCUUCGGGUUGUAAAACACUUUUGGCGGGAACGAAAAGGACUGUGCCAAUACCACGGUUGGAUGACGGUACCCGCAGAAUAAGCACCGGCUAACUACGUG
rnacentral:rRNA from 1 species